rnacentral:rRNA from 1 species
AUGGCAAAGUGCCUCGCCGUCGCCCUCCUGCUGCUGCUGGUGCUCGCGUACUGCGACGGGAGGGAGCUAAACCAGAAGGACCAGGCACUCGCAACGGCACGCGGUGCCGGGGCCGCCGGUGGUGGCGUCGGCGAGGAGAAGAUUUUGGGGUUGCCUGACCUGCCGCCUGUGGGAACCGUUACCGGUACCAGCACCACUAACGGCCCGCUGGUGGCGCUUCCUGCCCUUCCCGGGAUCCCUGCUCACCCAUGA